GGGACACGUGGUAUCCUGUCUGAAUAUGGGGGGACCAUCCUCCAAGGCUAAAUACUCCUGACUGACCGAUAGUGAACCAGUACCGUGAGGGAAAGGCGAAAAGAACCCCGGCGAGGGGAGUGAAAAAGAACCUGAAACCGUGUACGUACAAGCAGUGGGAGCCUCUUAAUGGGGUGACUGCGUACCUUUUGUAUAAUGGGUCAGCGACUUAUAUUCUGUAGCAAGGUUAACCGAAUAGGGGAGCCGAAGGGAAACCGAGUCUUAACUGGGCGUUAAGUUGCAGGGUAUAGACCCGAAACCCGGUGAUCUAGCCAUGGGCAGGUUGAAGGUUGGGUAACACUAACUGGAGGACCGAACCGACUAAUGUUGAAAAAUUAGCGGAUGACUUGUGGCUGGGGGUGAAAGGCCAAUCAAACCGGGAGAUAGCUGGUUCUCCCCGAAAGCUAUUUAGGUAGCGCCUCGUGAAUUCAUCUCCGGGGGUAGAGCACUGUUUCGGCAAGGGGGUCAUCCCGACUUACCAACCCGAUGCAAACUGCGAAUACCGGAGAAUGUUAUCACGGGAGACACACGGCGGGUGCUAACGUCCGUCGUGAAGAGGGAAACAACCCAGACCGCCAGCUAAGGUCCCAAAGUCAUGGUUAAGUGGGAAACGAUGUGGGAAGGCCCAGACAGCCAGGAUGUUGGCUUAGAAGCAGCCAUCAUUUAAAGAAAGCGUAAUAGCUCACUGGUCGAGUCGGCCUGCGCGGAAGAUGUAACGGGGCUAAACCAUGCACCGAAGCUGCGGCAGCGACACUAUGUGUUGUUGGGUAGGGGAGCGUUCUGUAAGCCUGUGAAGGUGUACUGUGAGGUAUGCUGGAGGUAUCAGAAGUGCGAAUGCUGACAUAAGUAACGAUAAAGCGGGUGAAAAGCCCGCUCGCCGGAAGACCAAGGGUUCCUGUCCAACGUUAAUCGGGGCAGGGUGAGUCGACCCCUAAGGCGAGGCCGAAAGGCGUAGUCGAUGGGAAACAGGUUAAUAUUCCUGUACUUGGUGUUACUGCGAAGGGGGGACGGAGAAGGCUAUGUUGGCCGGGCGACGGUUGUCCCGGUUUAAGCGUGUAGGCUGGUUUUCCAGGCAAA
rnacentral:rRNA from 1 species